UACGUAGGGCGCAAGCGUUGUCCGGAAUUAUUGGGCGUAAAGAGCUCGUAGGUGGCGUGUCGCGUCUGCCGUGAAAGCCCAUGGCUUAACUGUGGGUCUGCGGUGGAUACGGGCAGGCUGGAGGCUGGUAGGGGCAAGCGGAAUUCCUGGUGUAGCGGUGAAAUGCGCAGAUAUCAGGAGGAACACCGGUGGCGAAGGCGGGUCUCUGGGCAACUACUGACGCUGAGGAGCGAAAGCGUGGGGAGCGAACAGG
rnacentral:rRNA from 1 species